CAAAUUAGAGCUUGAUAGAAAGUUUUUUACUUACAUUAAAAUGUUGUCGUGCAAUUCGGUAUAAUUUGA
rnacentral:tRNA from 1 species